rnacentral:rRNA from 1 species
GAUGAACGCUGGCGGCGUGCCUAAUACAUGCAAGUCGAGCGAAUGGAUUAAGAGCUUGCUCUUAUGAAGUUAGCGGCGGACGGGUGAGUAACACGUGGGUAACCUGCCCAUAAGACUGGGAUAACUCCGGGAAACCGGGGCUAAUACCGGAUAACAUUUUGAACCGCAUGGUUCGAAAUUGAAAGGCGGCUUCGGCUGUCACUUAUGGAUGGACCCGCGUCGCAUUAGCUAGUUGGUGAGGUAACGGCUCACCAAGGCAACGAUGCGUAGCCGACCUGAGAGGGUGAUCGGCCACACUGGGACUGAGACACGGCCCAGACUCCUACGGGAGGCAGCAGUAGGGAAUCUUCCGCAAUGGACGAAAGUCUGACGGAGCAACGCCGCGUGAGUGAUGAAGGCUUUCGGGUCGUAAAACUCUGUUGGCAGGAAAGAAAUCGCCUGUGCUAAUACCACGGGCGGAUGACGGUACCUGCAGAAUAAGCACCGGCUAACUACGUGCCAGCCGCCGCGGUAA